AACGUAGGAGGCAAGCGUUAUCCGGAUUUACUGGGCGUAAAGCGCGUGCAGGCGGCUUGGUAAGUCGGACGUGAAAGCUCCCGGCUCAACUGGGAGAGGCCGUUCGAAACUACCAGGCUAGAGGGCAGCAGAGGGAGGUGGAAUUCCGGGUGUAGCGGUGAAAUGCGUAGAUAUCCGGAGGAACACCAGUGGCGAAAGCGGCCUCCUGGACUGUCCCUGACGCUAAGACGCGAAAGCUAGGGGAGCAAACAGG
rnacentral:misc_RNA from 1 species